AUGGCUCAGAUUGAACGCUGGCGGAAUGCUUUACACAUGCAAGUCGAACGGCAGCACGGGGGCAACCCUGGUGGCGAGUGGCGAACGGGUGAGUAAUACAUCGGAACGUGCCCAGUCGUGGGGGAUAACGCAGCGAAAGCUGCGCUAAUACCGCAUACGAUCUAUGGAUGAAAGCGGGGGACCGUAAGGCCUCGCGCGAUUGGAGCGGCCGAUGUCAGAUUAGGUAGUUGGUGGGGUAAAGGCUCACCAAGCCAACGAUCUGUAGCUGGUCUGAGAGGACGACCAGCCACACUGGGACUGAGACACGGCCCAGACUCCUACGGGAGGCAGCAGUGGGGAAUUUUGGACAAUGGGCGCAAGCCUGAUCCAGCAAUGCCGCGUGCAGGAAGAAGGCCUUCGGGUUGUAAACUGCUUUUGUACGGAACGAAACGGCUCUCUCUAAUACAGGGGGCUAAUGACGGUACCGUAAGAAUAAGCACCGGCUAACUACGUG
rnacentral:rRNA from 1 species